AGUGAACGCUGGCGGUAGGCCUAACACAUGCAAGUCGAACGGCAGCACAGGAGAGCUUGCUCUCUGGGUGGCGAGUGGCGGACGGGUGAGGAAUACAUCGGAAUCUACUUUUUCGUGGGGGAUAACGUGGGGAAACUUACGCUAAUACCGCAUACGACCUACGGGUGAAAGCAGGGGACCUUCGGGCCUUGCGCGAUUGAAUGAGCCGAUGUCGGAUUAGCUAGUUGGCGGGGUAAAGGCCCACCAAGGCGACGAUCCGUAGCUGGUCUGAGAGGAUGAUCAGCCACACUGGAACUAAGACACGGUCCAGACUCCUACGGGAGGCAGCAGUGGGGAAUAUUGGACAAUGGGCGCAAGCCUGAUCCAGCCAUACCGCGUGAGUGAAGAAGGCCUUCGGGUUGUAAAGCCCUUUUGUUGGGAAAGAAAUCCAGCUGGCUAAUACCCGGUUGGGAUGACGGUACCCAAAGAAUAAGCACCGGCUAACUUCGUGCCAGCCGCCGCCGUAA
rnacentral:rRNA from 1 species